GGGCCCGCACAAGCGGUGGAGCAUGUGGUUUAAUUCGAUGAUACGCGAGGAACCUUACCAGGGCUUAAAUGUAGUCUGACAGGGGUGGAAACACCCCCUCCUUCGGGCAGAUUACAAGGUGCUGCAUGGUUGUCGUCAGCUCGUGCCGUGAGGUGUCAGGUUAAGUCCUAUAACGAGCGCAACCCCUGCCGUUAGUUGCCAGCAUGUAAUGAUGGGAACUCUAACGGGACUGCCGGUGCAAACCGCGAGGAAGGUGGGGAUGACGUCAAAUCAUCACGGCCCUUACGUCCUGGGCUACACACGUGCUACAAUGGCCGGUACAGAGGGCAGCCACACCGCAAGGUGGAGCGAAUCCUUAAACUCUAUCUCAGUUCGGAUCGGAGUCUGCAACUCGACUCCGUGAAGCUGGAAUC
rnacentral:rRNA from 1 species